rnacentral:rRNA from 1 species
GAAUGCUGACAUAAGUAACGAUAAAGCGGGUGAAAAGCCCGCUCGCCGGAAGACCAAGGGUUCCUGUCCAACGUUAAUCGGGGCAGGGUGAGUCGACCCCUAAGGCGAGGCCGAAAGGCGUAGUCGAUGGGAAACGGGUUAAUAUUCCCGUACUUGGUGUUACUGCGAAGGGGGGACGGAGAAGGCUAUGUUGGCCGGGCGACGGUUGUCCCGGUUUAAGCGUGUAGGUGUGUGUUCCAGGUAAAUCCGGUUCACUUUAACACUGAGGCGUGACGACGAGGCACUACGGUGCUGAAGCAACAAAUGCCCUGCUUCCAGGAAAAGCCUCUAAGCAUCAGGUAACAUCAAAUCGUACCCCAAACCGACACAGGUGGUCAGGUAGAGAAUACCAAGGCGCUUGAGAGAACUCGGGUGAAGGAACUAGGCAAAAUGGUGCCGUAACUUCGGGAGAAGGCACGCUGACACGUAGGUGAAGUGAUUUACUCAUGGAGCUGAAGUCAGUCGAAGAUACCAGCUGGCUGCAACUGUUUAUUAAAAACACAGCACUGUGCAAACACGAAAGUGGACGUAUACGGUGUGACGCCUGCCCGGUGCCGGAAGGUUAAUUGAUGGGGUCAGCGCAAGCGAAGCUCCUGAUCGAAGCCCCGGUAAACGGCGGCCGUAACUAUAACGGUCCUAAGGUAGCGAAAUUCCUUGUCGGGUAAGUUCCGACCUGCACGAAUGGCGUAAUGAUGGCCAGGCUGUCUCCACCCGAGACUCAGUGAAAUUGAACUCGCUGUGAAGAUGCAGUGUACCCGCGGCAAGACGGAAAGACCCCGUGAACCUUUACUAUAGCUUGACACUGAACAUUGAGCCUUGAUGUGUAGGAUAGGUGGGAGGCUUUGAAGUGUGGACGCCAGUCUGCAUGGAGCCGACCUUGAAAUACCACCCUUUAAUGUUUGAUGUUCUAACGUGGACCCGUUACCCGGGUUGCGGACAGUGUCUGGUGGGUAGUUUGACUGGGGCGGUCUCCUCCUAAAGAGUAACGGAGGAGCACGAAGGUUGGCUAAUCCUGGUCGGACAUCAGGAGGUUAGUGCAAUGGCAUAAGCCAGCUUGACUGCGAGCGUGACGGCGCGAGCAGGUGCGAAAGCAGGUCAUAGUGAUCCGGUGGUUCUGAAUGGAAGGGCCAUCGCUCAACGGAUAAAAGGUACUCCGGGGAUAACAGGCUGAUACCGCCCAAGAGUUCAUAUCGACGGCGGUGUUUGGCACCUCGAUGUCGGCUCAUCACAUCCUGGGGCUGAAGUAGGUCCCAAGGGUAUGGCUGUUCGCCAUUUAAAGUGGUACGCGAGCUGGGUUUAGAACGUCGUGAGACAGUUCGGUCCCUAUCUGCCGUGGGCGCUGGAGAACUGAGGGGGGCUGCUCCUAGUACGAGAGGACCGGAGUGGACGCAUCACUGGUGUUCGGGUUGUCAUGCCAAUGGCACUGCCCGGUAGCUAAAUGCGGAAGAGAUAAGUGCUGAAAGCAUCUAAGCACGAAACUUGCCCCGAGAUGAGUUCUCCCUGAGACUUAAAGUCUCCUGAAGGAACGUUGAA